GAUGAACGCUGGCGGCGUGCCUAAUACAUGCAAGUCGAGCGAAUGGAUUAAGAGCUUGCUCUUAUGAAGUUAGCGGCGGACGGGUGAGUAACACGUGGGUAACCUGCCCAUAAGACUGGGAUAACUCCGGGAAACCGGGGCUAAUACCGGAUAACAUUUUGAACCGCAUGGUUCGAAAUUGAAAGGCGGCUUCGGCUGUCACUUAUGGAUGGACCCGCGUCGCAUUAGCUAGUUGGUGAGGUAACGGCUCACCAGGGCAACGAUGCGUAGCCGACCUGAGAGGGUGAUCGGCCACACUGGGACUGAGACACGGCCCAGACUCCUACGGGAGGCAGCAGUAGGGAAUCUUCCGCAAUGGACGAAAGUCUGACGGAGCAACGCCGCGUGAGUGUUGAAGGCUUUCGGGUCGUAAAACUCUGUUGUUAGGGAAGAACAAGUGCUAGUUGAAUAAGCUGGCACCUUGACGGUACCUAACCAGAAAGCCACGGCUAGCUACGUGCCAGCCGCCGCGGUAA
rnacentral:rRNA from 1 species